UAUAUGUGUCUGUGGAUGAGCAUUUUAUUUUCAGUUUAGAGGUAAUUUGGGUUUUGACAAGGAAGUAGAUUUAAAAGGUAUAAUAGCCUUUCUUAAGCAGAAUAUGUGCUAAAUAUAAAAAUUGGUGAAAUUCUAAGAGCCCUAGCUAGGAGUAACAAGCAGUAUCUUGAUCUGUUUUUUUGUUAUAACCAAAUAACAUAUUAGGUGAUGGUGGGCAUGAGGAAUUUCAUGCAGUGUUGGAGGCUGGGAAAUCCAAGAUGAAGGUGUUAACCUCUGUUGAGGGCCUUCUAGUGCUGCAUUCUCACAUGGCAAAAGACUAUGAGAAAGAACUCACUCUUGCAAGCCCUUUUUUAAUCCUUUAGGUCCUCCAAGUAGGGUCCACUUCCCAACACUGUUGUACUGGGGAUAAAGUUUCCAACAAUUGACUUUGGGGACAUGCAUUCAGGCCAUAGCAUAAUAUUUGAAAACAUCCCCUACUUUUAGAAAAAAAUGAAUACUUUCUAAAGGGGAGAAAGUAUUUGGAAUCAGUAAUUGUGACUUUUGCCUCAUUUUCAUGCAUUAAUUUGUUGACAUCUAUUCCCAUUUGUUAAGAUAGGAUAUUGCUAGGAUAUUGC
rnacentral:lncRNA from 1 species